rnacentral:lncRNA from 1 species
CAUCUGUCAUGUAUCAACCCAAUGGCCUGAGCUUGGUAUGCAACAAAUAGCUGCAAAAUCUUAAGGUUUAACCCCAUAAGAUAUGCAAGGCAUGGCUUUUUACUUAUACAUAUUCAUAAUAAUUCAAACUCAUAAAGUUAUAAUAAAAACAAAUCUUCUAAAAUAUUUAUUCAAUAAAAAGAUAGUUUACGAAGACUAUUAACGGUUGUUGCGAUCAAUCUCCUGUUAUAUCCG